rnacentral:rRNA from 1 species
UACGUAGGGGGCAAGCGUUGUCCGGAAUCAUUGGGCGUAAAGAGCGUGUAGGCGGCUCGGUAAGUCCGCUGUGAAAGUCCAGGGCUCAACCCUGGAAUGCCGGUGGAAACUGUCGAGCUAGAGUCCGGAAGAGGCGAGUGGAAUUCCUGGUGUAGCGGUGAAAUGCGCAGAUAAUCAGGAGGAACACCAAUGGCGAAGGCAGCUCGCUGGGACGGUACUGACGCUGAGACGCGAAAGCGUGGGAGCAAACAGG